rnacentral:rRNA from 1 species
ACGCUCGACACCUACGGGAAGCAGCAGUGAGGAAUAUUGGUCAAUGGGCGCAGGCCUGAACCAGCCAAGUAGCGUGAAGGAUGACUGCCCUAUGGGUUGUAAACUUCUUUUAUAUGGGAAUAAAGUUUUCCACGUGUGGAAUUUUGUAUGUACCAUAUGAAUAAGGAUCGGCUAACUCCGUGUCAGCAGCCGCGGUAAUCUGAGCGGGCUGGCAAGGC